rnacentral:rRNA from 1 species
UACAGUGGGGGCAAGCGUUGUUCGGAAUUACUGGGCGUAAAGGGCGCGUAGGCGGCCUUCUAAGUCGAACGUGAAAUCCCUGGGCUCAACCCAGGAACUGCGUCCGAUACUGGAAGGCUUGAAUCCGGGAGAGGGAUGCGGAAUUCCAGGUGUAGCGGUGAAAUGCGUAGAUAUCUGGAGGAACACCGGUGGCGAAGGCGGCAUCCUGGACCGGUAUUGACGCUGAGGCGCGAAAGCCAGGGGAGCAAACGGG